GUUUUGAUAGCUUAACUUAAAGCAUCGGCCUUGUAAGCCGAAGACUGUAGCAUAAACCCUACUCAAAACU
rnacentral:tRNA from 1 species